UGGAGAAGGCUGUGUUGGUGGAAGUGCAUACAGAUCUGGAGAUGGCAUGGGGGUGAGGGGGAGUAUUCGGCAGUGUACACGGGCAUUUGGUCAGUUCUUGUUUGAGGAGGAGCCCAGGUCCGGGGCACCCUGGAUUGUAGCCCUGCCCACAUCACACCCACGGUGGAGGCAGUGGCGGCCACUUUUCUGCUGAGCUCAGGCCUAUGCAGUCCUGAAUUGAAUCUCUCACUGGAACAUUGGGAAACUGAGGCCCCUAGAGGGGUAGGGAAUGGCCCUCGACAGGGUGAGUCCAAUGGGUAAGUGUGUGUUCUGACCUUCUAGGGCAAGACUGGGACCCCACGCGGAGGCUUGGCUUCUGAAAUUAGGAACCAUGAGACCUUGAGAAGCUCUUGCCAAUCCCUCCCUUUUGUGGGAGCUGUUUUCUUCUUGGCCUCCACAACCUGAGCACACAACACGCGGACGCACACAAACACACACACACACGCGCAUGCACACACACACAACACACACACACACACACACACACACAUUGACCUUGGAUGCAAGGAUGGACUCUAGGUGGGAUCCGAAGAGAAGCAGACACAGGGCAAGUGGCAAGAGGAAGAAACACGAGGUGGGAGGCAUUGCCUGCAAGUGACACCCGCCUGCAGUUUGAGAGGUAUCGUCCUCUAAGGUAGGACACACGCCAGAGGACAUGUCUAGCAAGUCCACGCUCCGGUCCUCCCCAGUGUGCAGACAGGAGGCCGACAGGCCCUGAGAGCACACAGCUUAUGCAGGAUCCAGAAGAGGUAAGGAAGAGGACUUGUUUCUGCGUCAGUCUCAAAGCUGGGACCUCGGCCGCACCCAGACCCUCUAGGGAGCCUGUGAGACGGGUGUGUUGGUUGAGCCUGGGUACGCCUACGACGUCGCAUGGAGAAGGGGGGGCUCUGGUUCCCAGAAAGCCCGGAGGGAGAACCUUUGGAGACGUUGUGGACGCUGGCUCAGCUCCCACGCCCCCCACCGCUGGACCUUUGGCAGGAGGUCCUCUCAGGUAACAUGAGGAAGCCUAGAGCAGCCCAAUCGAGGCCAGACCAGCUCCCCGAGCCCUCCCAGGGCAGCCCUCAUCCCGUCCUCGUGAGUGUGGGGGCCAGAGGGACGUGUGGGCAGGAUCUGCCCUUGGCCGCAGAAGGUUGGUGGGCUGGCAAUAACCUGCUUUUCCCGUCACGUUCCCAAGGCAGGACAGGGCUGGCAGGACUGAAAGGGGACCCCUAAGCUGCCUCCUCAUUCCAGGCCCUCAGGCUGCCGUGUGUUUCCCUCCUCGGUGGAGGUCUGUGUGGACCGUGGGGCGGGGUAUGUGUGUCCAGAGUGGAGAGAGUCACAGAGUGUGAGAGCCAGCAAAGACAGCCAGUCGGUCUCUGAGGCUUGCGCCUGGCUGCCGGGCACUGUCUUUCAGAGCGUCACUCAGGAGACGGGCCAGCAGCUGAGCCACGCGCCCUCUACUCACCACCCUGCAGAAGAGAAGGUGCCCACGCUCCAAGCGAGGCCAGGGCCGGCUCAGGGUGAGUGCAGGUGCUGGGGAGACCCAAGCCCCAGGGCCCCAAGACAGCACUGAGGACCCCCAGGUCUUCGAAGGGCCUGAGACAGCCCCGGGGCUCCUGCCUGGAGCCCUGCUCCAAAGGAAUCUGAAUCCCCAUCUCUUCCCCCGACCUUGCCUGCGGGCCCAGCCCCCGUCUUGGCCAGAGGAGACGGCCCUGUCCACAGAGGUGUAGCAGAGCAGAGACAUUUCUAGCCCAUCAGCUCACGGGCGUUCAAGAGUCCUUUUGCGUUCUGUAGAGAUUUUCCUGUUUGAACUCCCAUCCUCACGUGGCCAUGUGGCCUGGCAAUCCUUCCCCACCUUCUCCCAGUCGGACGCAGCAUCCUGAUGGAUAGGCAUGCUUUUUGCCCAACAGGACAUGGGGCUCACAGGGUUCUUUCUGGUCCUCUGCCUUUGCUGUCCAGAGGAACACGUCCACGUGGCCUCUCGAGGUCAGGGCGUCGGGCCUCAGCAGGCUGCCCAACUUUCCAGAAGGGAGACCCAUUAGCCCAGUGACUCAGCCCUUCACUGAACCCGCACCUUCUGUUGCCAUUUCCACAGCACCGCCCUGAUCACCCUGCCUGUCCUCCCGUCCUCAUCCCUCCCAGCCCACGAAAAGCCUCUGUGUUCUCCUGUCUCGAAUGGGCAGUUGGUCAGCCACCCCAGGGUUGAUGCUCUUCAUCCAGGGAGGGGCUGUCA
rnacentral:lncRNA from 1 species